rnacentral:lncRNA from 1 species
UUUCGCUUUGAUCCCAUAAUGGAUUUUGGUUCAGUCAUGAACUAAACUCCAUUAUGGGAUUCUAACGGAUUUUAAUACGUAGUCUAAUUUAUGGCCUGAUUGCUGGACUGUUUUACGUAUUAUAAGGAAUUUCUAUCAUGGUUGAUUUGCAUGUAUGAAUGAUUGAUCAUCAUUUGUUUUAGGUGCUUGUAUGGAAUUUAAAGAUAACAUGCGAGUAUGGAUUGCAAUCAUGAUAACAUGCGUAUAUGGGGCUGUUUUGCUUAGCUUUGUAUUUCGUGAAUUAGAUAGAUAUAUACUGUUUCACCGUAUGAGUUAAAUAAGGGUUUGUGCUUAAAUUCAAUAUUACUGCAAUCUCACAUAGAAAUAUAGUGAGAUUGAUUUUAUUGAUGAUUACAUGGUGUCUAUUGCAUGUGGAUGUUAUGUAAGUAGGUCAUGAUACAUUGAAAAAUGGUUAUGUUACAUUAGUGCUUUUGGCUACUUUUCUAUGAUACGUGAACAAUCUUGCAUGAUGGUUGUAAUUAGAUGAAUUGUUGAAUGAAGCUAGGAUCCCAUUAUCUCCAGAUUUGAUUUAUUACAUUAUUAUUCUUAUUUUAGGUAUUAUUUGCAUUUAGAUUAAUUCAUAAUUAUAAGCAUUAGUUUAAGCAUAUAAAAAUAGUGAUUUAAUUGAUGCAUAAUAGUUUAAUUUAGACAACUUUCUCCGUGGAUCGAUACUCGACUUACUCUGUAUUGCUUGUUGACACAUGUAUGCUUGCAUGGGUUAGAGCUCUUUUGUUAGAACUAAAAAAGAGGCAACAAGUUUUUGGCACCACUGCCGGGGAGAGGCGUUUAAAUUUUUAUUAUUAUCAUUAGUUUUAAGCUAUAUUGUAUGACUUAGACAAAUCUAAUCUUGUCUCAUUUAGAUUUUUGUUUUUGUUUUUGUUUCAAGAACUUGUAUAAAUUUUUAUGCGCACGCAGUCAUCCAAUCCCGACUUAACACCUGCUCAAGACAACAUAAACGGGAGAGGUUGGAAAGCGAGUGUUCGUAGAAAUUUACAAGCACAGUUAGAGGAUACUACAUCUAAUAUGGCAGCCGAGGGACAAGGAGAAGAGCAAAGAGAAGAGCAUAGGGCUCUGAGAGAAUAU